rnacentral:rRNA from 1 species
GACGAACGCUGGCGGCGUGCCUAAUACAUGCAAGUAGAACGCUGAAGGAGGAGCUUGCUCUUCUGGAUGAGUUGCGAACGGGUGAGUAACGCGUAGGUAACCUGCCUGGUAGCGGGGGAUAACUAUUGGAAACGAUAGCUAAUACCGCAUAACAGUAGAUGUUGCAUGACAUUUACUUAAAAGGUGCAAUUGCAUCACUACCAGAUGGACCUGCGUUGUAUUAGCUAGUUGGUGGGGUAACGGCUCACCAAGGCGACGAUACAUAGCCGACCUGAGAGGGGGAUCGGCCACACUGGGACUGAGACACGGCCCAGACUCCUACGGGAGGCAGCAGUAGGGAAUCUUCGGCAAUGGACGGAAGCCUGACCGAGCAACGCCGCGUGAGUGAAGAAGGUUUUCGGAUCGUAAAGCUCUGUUGUAAGAGAAGAACGAGUGUGAGAGUGGAAAGUUCACACUGUGACGGUAUCUGACCAGAAAGGGACGGCUAACUACGUG